rnacentral:lncRNA from 1 species
CUCUUGAGCUCUUGUGGUGACCUGGGAAUCAAUGUGUGAGGUGGUGCUAUGUAGCAGGAACCCCUCUUGCUUUGCAAAUAGUUUUUUGUUUGUUUUCCUUUUUGCCCAAUAGAGCCCUGCUCUACUGACCCUUCAAUGUGCCCGUGUGCCUAAAUAUUCCUGGUCGUGUGAAAAGAACCCAGGUAUUAGCUGAACUAAGGAGCACAAUUCUGCAACAUUUUGGCACCCAAACACGGGGCUUGAGAAAUGAAUGCAAUUGGAGAAACUGGUUGUUUUACCAGGCGUUGAUUGGAAAUGUGUGCUUCCCUUUAAGCAGUCAAGCUCAACUUGCAGAACUGAUGGGAACCCCUUGGGAAAACUGGCCUCAAAUGUUUGUCUACACAGUCCACAUACAGGGUUCUUAACCUGCGAUGAGGGAAACUUCCCAGGGCUUGUCUGGGUAUGCCCACAGUGGACUGGAGCCCAAAAUGCACACUGGAGGAAGUGGAUGGAGCCACGUGGAUGUCAUGCCUUAUGCAGGGGAGGAGCCUGCUCUCUUCAGCUCCUGUGGUAAUGUGGGAAUCGAUCUGUGAGCAUAUUUAACUAUCCGGCUAUUUUGGAGAUUGAAAAAAGAAGACCUGAUUUAUCAUGUGCAAUAUCUCACACAUCUGUCAUUUCUAUUCUACCGCAAUUCGAUGGAGUCUUGUUCUGUGGUCCAGGCUAGAGGGCAGUGGCAUGAUCUCGGCUCACUACAAGCUCUGCCUCCCGGGUUCACGCCAUUCUCCUGCCUCAGCCUCCUGAGUAGCUGGGACUACAGGCGCCCGCCACCACGCCUGGCUAAUUUUUUGUAUAUUUACUAGAGAUGGCUAGUGUUAGCCAAGAUGGUCUCGAUCUCCUGACCUCGUGAUCUGCCCACCUCAGCCUGCCAAAGUGCUGGGAUUACUGGCGUGAGCCACCGUGCCUGGCCAGCAUCCUCUAAUUAUUAUUCAUAGUUUGUGAAUUUAGGCCUACGUGAAUAAUAAUAUAAUAUUUACUAUGAUGUUACUAUCUACCAACCUUAUUUUUCUUUUCUAUAAAAUAGGAGCCAAAAUAAUAUUUAUGUCAUACCUUAUGAAGUUAAAAUAAAAUAUAACGAAUGAGGGGCUUAACAA